GCGGGCCGGCAGCCGCAGCCUGCCCGCGAGCCAGGGCGCGCUGCAGCACCUCAUGGGCGGCCCUUAAAUCUAUUUUCUCCCAGCCGCUACAGCAACUACGGCCCUGCUCAUCACAGCAUCAAAGGAUUGCCCAUGAACAUUUCCUUAAAGCAACUCUGAAGCAACUCUGCACAGCUACGGCAAUAGUUUAUAAAACAGGAAAUAGUGGCCUUUAUGGAGUAAGGUACCAAGUGUCUGGCAGGACUGUGUCAUUAGCACAGAAAUCUCGACAGCACAGACUGCUAUCAGCACAGUGGGAGGCAGUGGAGCUGGGCUGCCUCCCAGGGCAUGCACCCACCUUUUUCAUGUUGCCCCCGAGCAGUGAGUAAGGGGGUUUGUUGAUGUGGCUCCAGUCAACCGGGACACGCGUCAUGUCAUACAGUUGGAAGAUGAUUAAAGCAUCAGAAAGGUCACUAAACCCAGAGCAAAACAAUUGGUUUAAGCACAAAAGCACAGAUUGACAACCAAAGUAAGUACUUGAGACCAGUGUAAUUAAGUUGCUGAAAAAUUCCAGACACUUAAAUAAAAACUGGUGCUGUUCUGUAAAGAAA